rnacentral:rRNA from 1 species
UACGGAGGGGGCUAGCGUUGUUCGGAAUUACUGGGCGUAAAGCGCACGUAGGCGGCUUUGUAAGUUAGAGGUGAAAGCCCAGGGCUUAACCCUGGAAUUGCCUUUAAGACUGCAUCGCUAGAAUCGUGGAGAGGUGAGUGGAAUUCCGAGUGUAGAGGUGAAAUUCGUAGAUAUUGGGAAGAACACCGGUGGCGAAGGCGGCUCACUGGCUCAUUUCUGACGCUCAGGCGCGACAGCGUGGGGAUCAAACAGG